GUGCACUGAGAAGAGGCAUUGUGUCAGGGUUCAGCUGUUUCUCCUCCAGCAGCUGCUUGGGUAGAGUCUCCUGAUGCAGUAGGAACCUUUCCUGCUCUACGAUAUCUGGAGGAGAAACACAUAUACCAACAAUCAGGCAGUCCUACCCUUCAAUUCAAUCUCAAUUAAAGUUGAAAUUAUGCAUUAGGGAACAUGGUGUUUGCCAGUCCAGAGGGUCAAUUGACCAGUUGCUGCCCCCAUGGUGGUCAAUUGACCAGUUGGUGCAUGGUGUGUGCCACAGUUCUGCAUGAGUGCCUCCCCGGUUUUAGAAGUUAUCUGUUCUGGAUUGCCAGGUUGGCAUUAAUCAGGGUCUGGGUCAGUGAGAUCUACACACACUGGGAUGACCGACGCCAUUUCUCAGCAACCUGGAAGGAUACUUGGGCCCAGACUAUUUGCUUGUUUUUAGUUAGGACAGCUGGUGGGUCUCUCCCUCAGUGUAUAGCACUGUAAAUAAAACAGCUCCUGAUA